UACAGAGGGUGCAAGCGUUGCUCGGAAUCAUUGGGCGUAAAGCGUGCGUAGGCGGUUGGCAAAGUCAGCUGUGAAAGCCCCGGGCUUAACCUGGGAAUGGCGGUUGAAACUAGUCGACUAGAAUCUGGCAGAGGGGGGUGGAAUUCCACGUGUAGCAGUGAAAUGCGUAGAGAUGUGGAGGAACACCGAUGGCGAAGGCAGCCCCCUGGGCUAACACUGACGCUCAUGCACGAAAGCGUGGGGAGCAAACAGG
rnacentral:rRNA from 1 species